rnacentral:rRNA from 1 species
GUGGGGAAUAUUGCACAAUGGAGGAAACUCUGAUGCAGCGACGCCGCGUGAGUGAAGAAGUAAUUCGUUAUGUAAAGCUCUAUCAGCAGGGAAGAUAGUGACGGUACCUGACUAAGAAGCUCCGGCUAAAUACGUGCCAGCAGCCGCGGUAAUACGUAUGGAGCAAGCGUUAUCCGGAUUUACUGGGUGUAAAGGGAGUGUAGGUGGCCAUGCAAGUCAGAAGUGAAAAUCCGGGGCUCAACCCCGGAACUGCUUUUGAAACUGUAAGGCUGGAGUGCAGGAGGGGUGAGUGGAAUUCCUAGUGUAGCGGUGAAAUGCGUAGAUAUUAGGAGGAACACCAGUGGCGAAGGCGGCUCACUGGACUGUAACUGACACUGAGGCUCGAAAGCGUGGGGAGCAAACAGGAUUAGAAACCCGUGUAGUCC